ensembl:lncRNA
GGCUGGUCGUUGUUUUUUUUUUGUGGGGCACUGGUGCAGUAGGGAAGCCUCGGAGACUCCAGGAGGAAGUGUGCACAUUUUAAAGGAAAAGAUUUUUAACCUGGCCUGGUUUUGCUUUUAAAAUAAUCUGAGGAUGUUGGAGGGAGGACUCAUUUUUAUUGGGAUGUGAGUGGAUGUGCUGGGAGGCAGGAAAACAAACACUGGACUGGAGACUCUCUGUGCCCCUGACAAGGAAACUGGACCAGUUUUGGGGAAGUUCUGGCUCCCAGGAUGUGAUGUGGAGAUCCAGCCUCGAACGAAGUCAGGCCUGAAAAGGGUAAUAAUCCUGACCGCGGUGGCUUUGGGCCUUGGCUUCCUGGCCAGAGUCGUGUCUUCAGCCAGUAGUUUUACCCGGAGAAAGAACAAAUAAAUCUUGUGUAACCCAGUGCAGUGUGCGUGUGGUGGUGUGUUACUGGUCAAUAUUAGAGCUACCACUUUCUUGUACGGAGGCCGUUUUGGGCCCUACGUAACACUUAUUAAAUCUUUUCUCCACACGUUAAAUAGACUAAAGUUACCAUUGAUGGAUACAGCCUGAUUAAAUGGAGCACUAAUGAAUGUAUGCAAGAAACAUCGUAAUGCUGAAUGUUAAAUUGUGUUAAAAUUCAUGUUUUUGCUUGCAAUGCAUAUUUUACUACAUUUUACCAAAGUUGCUUUGGGGAUAUUAUUUUUUGUUGGCAAACUAUUCUACAGACUAUUUUUCUUUCAGUCAGCAUGUCUUGAUUGUUCUGAAAGUUCUGUGGUCUCCUACAUGCAUUGCUGUUAAAGAAUGAUUCUAAAUGUACCUGUUAUUUACUCAGCUAGUGAGCUCGGUGAUCUCUUAGCUUUGAGCCAUUCUAAAUGUGGGCGCUAUUUUUAACUUCCUGUGAAGUUAGCUAAUAAGUUUAGUAUGAGACGGUUGAAGGGGAGAAAGCUGGGCUGAACUAAGAUCCUGCCAACUGUUUUAAGAAUGUUCAAGCAAAAUAAAAGAGAUG